rnacentral:rRNA from 1 species
CACGUAGGGGGCGAGCGUUGUCCGGAUUUAUUGGGCGUAAAGAGCUCGUAGGCGGCUUGGUAAGUCAGGUGUGAAACCUCCAGGCUCAACCUGGAGACGCCACUUGAUACUGCCAUAGCUAGAGUCCGGUAGGGGAGCGUGGAAUUUCUGGUGUAGCGGUGAAAUGCGCAGAUAUCAGAAGGAACACCAGCGGCGAAGGCGGCGCUCUGGGCCGGAACUGACGCUGAGGCGCGACAGCGUGGGGAGCAAACAGG